rnacentral:rRNA from 1 species
ACGGGUGAGUAAUGUCUGGGGAUCUGCCCGAUAGAAGGGGAUAACCACUGGAAACGGUGGCUAAUACCGCAUAACGUCGCAAGACCAAAGAGGGGGACCUUCGGGCCUCUCACUAUCGGAUGAACCCAGAUGGGAUUAGCUAGUAGGCGGGGUAAUGGCCCACCUAGGCGACGAUCCCUAGCUGGUCUGAGAGGAUGACCAGCCACACUGGAACUGAGACACGGUCCAGACUCCUACGGGAGGCAGCAGUGGGGAAUAUUGCACAAUGGGCGCAAGCCUGAUGCAGCCAUGCCGCGUGUAUGAAGAAGGCCUUCGGGUUGUAAAGUACUUUCAGCGGGGAGGAAGGCGACGGGGUUAAUAACCCUGUCGAUUGACGUUACCCGCAGAAGAAGCACCGGCUAACUCCGUGCCAGCAGCCGCGGUAAUACGGAGGGUGCAAGCGUUAAUCGGAAUUACUGGGCGUAAAGCGCACGCAGGCGGUCUGUUAGGUCAGAUGUGAAAUCCCCGGGCUUAACCUGGGAACUGCAUUUGAAACUGGCAGGCUUGAGUCUUGUAGAGGGGGGUAGAAUUCCAGGUGUAGC